GCUCAGGACGAACGCUGGCGGCGUGCYUAAUACAUGCAAGUCGAGCGGACCGACGGGAGCUUGCUCCCUUAGGUCAGCGGCGGACGGGUGAGUAACACGUGGGUAACCUGCCUGUAAGACUGGGAUAAYUCCGGGAAACCGGGGCUAAUACCGGAUGCUUGAUUGAACCGCAUGGUUCAAUCAUAAAAGGUGGCUUUUAGCUACCACUURCAGAUGGACCCGCGGCGCAUUAGCUAGUUGGUGAGGUAACGGCUCACCAAGGCGACGAUGCGUAGCCGACCUGAGAGGGUGAUCGGCCACACUGGGACUGAGACACGGCCCAGACUCCUACGGGAGGCAGCAGUAGGGAAUCUUCCGCAAUGGACGAAAGUCUGACGGAGCAACGCCGCGUGAGUGAUGAAGGUUUUCGGAUCGUAAAACUCUGUUGUUAGGGAAGAACAAGUACCGUUCGAAUAGGGC
rnacentral:rRNA from 1 species